GGAAUUCAGAAAGGUGCUGUAAUGUGAACGUGCAAGUGCUUCAUCUAUUCGCUCACUGGUUGAGAAAGAAACUGAGCUUGAUGCCAGGCUACAGAGAUGAGGAGAACGCAGGUGGGGCAGGGUGGCCUGGAGUGGGGGUGGGUAGUCAGUCAGGAAUGAGAGGUGGCUUUUUAUUCAUGAAGAAGAAAAUUCCCAGGGAACAGGAUGGCAAACGAGAAGGAAGGCUAUUGUGUAUGAGUGUACAGGUUGUACUCUGCACACUGGGGUUUGGAAGAGGAGACACACCAUAUAUAUUCCCCAAGUCAUGAAAGAAAUAAAGAAAAGACAAAGAUAACCUAGGUCAAACAAUGAAAGAACCAAAAAUGGAAAGAGGAAGAAAGUACAUGAAGUCGUGAAACAAAAUCCUGAAGGGUUUUCUGAGACUCGAAUGAGAUUAAAAGGCAUGAAGAACUCCAGAAAUGCAGGCUGCAAUAAUUAUUACUCUGAUCGUCAAUAGAAUCCAGAAUGCAACCAUCCAGAAGGGCAGGCUUUGGCUGCAGUGUUGCAGGGAGCGCCAGGUUGCAAGCCAAAAGAAAUGGAGAUGUAGGAAGGAUGCUACCACGGGGAGGCGGGUGUUCUCUGGAUGCAGAAGAUGAUAUACAGUCAUCAGUUACACACAAAUGUCAGGGAUUCUUCACUCAAAAGAAAGGAGAAAGCCACCACUUUGAAAGAAAGGAAAUAGUCAAUAUAUUUGACAACCUGUAUGGAAUGGACCUGACCAAUGGGAACAGUGACACGAGCUGAAAUUCACUUCAGCUUUUGGGGUUGCUGCCACACUUGGGUAGAGACCUAAAGAUCAACUUUUCUUUAACCUGCAUCAUUAAUCGUAUAAACCUUCCAGCUCACAGGUAUCC
rnacentral:lncRNA from 1 species